UUGCAGCGUAUUCUUUUCAUCAGUGGAAGACUUAUCGAUGUCAUAGGUAUGAAUCAUUCAGAGAAAAAAAAAAGUCAGUUCGAGAAAGCUUAAUCAAGAACUUAGGAAUAAUAGAGGUAUCUCAACAAAAUCUCUUCCCUAAUGGUUAGGUUCAUAAGCAUGUCUUUUGGAAGCAUUAGUAGAUCGCUAAUGUUCAUGUCACUAGUGUAAAGGGAAGGAAUGAGACCAUCAUCUUCUUCUUCUAGAGUCUCUAGUGUUUAUGUCAAACAUUUCAGUGAGGCGUCCCAAUCUACAAGUGAGAGAUUAUAACAUUCAAGAAACAUUAGUUUCGUCUCAUUUGAGUCUCAGACUGUAAUUACAUGUGCGUCAAUAUUCUUCUUGCCAGUUUUAGUUUUGAUCAUUUAAUCGUCCUUCAUGGAGUUUUAACACUUUCCCCAUGAUUGAAAUAAUAAUAUUCCGACUGAGAAGUAGCACAUACAUAUUCUAAAUGUCUACAUUGUGGAAAUCUGGUAAAAAAAAAGAAAUAAAUCAUAUACCAGUUUUGUCUCUCUGAAUCAAAUACUUCUUAACAGAUAGCUAAUUCUUAUAUAUAUCUAUAAUAAUUUAUAUAUAUGUGGAGAGUGAGAGACAAGCUUAUAUAUACACAUUCAUAAUCUACUGCUACUCACAGCUCCAUUUUGACCUGGUUUGGGUGCAAACUAGCAGAACCCACCAUCAAAUUUUCAGAAACAGCCAUCAAACUGUUGUGUUCAUUGCCAUGACCUUGAUCAUCUUCUCUUCCCCAAGCCGGCUGGUUCAAGCCAUCAUAAGGCCAUUGUUGCGGUUGUGGUGGUUGUUGCAGUUGCAGUUGCCGG
rnacentral:lncRNA from 1 species